rnacentral:rRNA from 1 species
GACGAACGCUGGCGGCGUGCCUAAUACAUGCAAGUCGAGCGGACAGAAGGGAGCUUGCUCCCGGAUGUUAGCGGCGGACGGGUGAGUAACACGUGGGUAACCUGCCUGUAAGACUGGGAUAACUCCGGGAAACCGGAGCUAAUACCGGAUAGUUCCUUGAACCGCAUGGUUCAAGGAUAAAAGACGGUUUCGGCUGUCACUUACAGAUGGACCCGCGGCGCAUUAGCUAGUUGGUGAGGUAACGGCUCACCAAGGCGACGAUGCGUAGCCGACCUGAGAGGGUGAUCGGCCACACUGGGACUGAGACACGGCCCAGACUCCUACGGGAGGCAGCAGUAGGGAAUCUUCCGCAAUGGACGAAAGUCUGACGGGGCAACGCCGCGUGAGUGAUGAAGGUUUUCGGAUCGUAAAGCUCUGUUGUUAGGGAAGAACAAGUGCAAGAGUAACUGCUUGCACCUUGACGGUACCUAACCAGAAAGCCACGGCUAACUACGUGCCAGCCGCCGCCGUAACAC